UUAUACGCUAUAAAAUGAUCAAAUUAUAUUCUAUCUUGCACCUACAAAGAGAGUAAAAUAUGACUAAAACUCUUCAAUUUGUUUAUACUAUGAUUUUCUAUUUUUUCCUUAUUGCAAAUGAAGUUGAUUGCGGAUUUACAAACUUGUUGGGUAAAAGUAUACUAUAUUGUCAUACUGUUGAUGAUUGUCCAAAAAGCUGGGUUCGCAAGUAUAAAUGCAUUGACAACCGCUGUCGAUAUUACACUGUGUUUGUUUAGGUAGAUUUACAAAAGAGAGAAAUAAGAAAGAGAGAGAUAGCAAAGAAAUUAAUUAUUUCUAUAGUUUGGAUGAGGAGAGAAAUAAGGAAAGAGGGAAAUAUAAUGGUUAGUAACUGCCAAAAAUAAAUCUCUCCAUAUUAUGAGAGAUUUGUGUGACAAGUAGUGAAAUAAAUAAUUUUACAACAAUACUCUCAUUCAACUAGUUUAUUUUCUUGUAAAAAAGGGUAAAUUUGUUAUUUUCUCAUUUUUAUUAAUUUCUCUCUUCUCA